rnacentral:lncRNA from 1 species
UGCAAACCACUUUUGAGUCAGUUGCUAUAUAGUUUUUGAAACUUUUGCCAUCUCCAACAGUGUGUGCUCAGUUUCUACUCUUGAGGUAAAAUAUGUAAGGUUUUAGUAGUGAAUACUAUUUUACUCGCUAACUGAAUGAAAUACCGUUGAAAGACACACCGAUUUACUUCUUUGGGUAAUAUGAAAACAUAGGUUGAUUUCCAGUGGGCAUCGCCUGCAAAUGAUGCACAAUCUCUGUUAUCUUAGCUUUAAAAUCUCGUGAUUAAACAUGAAGUGAUUUAAAAAAUCUUAUAAUCAGGCCUGUAAAUGCGUAUUUCAGUAUUUCUGGUUUACAUUGUUUUAUUUUGUAUUGUCAUUCUUCUACUUUGUUUAUUGUUGAUAUUCAGGGUGUUCUUGUCUGAUUUUUUUUUUCGGUUUGUUUUUUCUUUCUUGUUGUUGGAGUUCAAACAAUGAAUCGAAGCCAGCUUGUGAUUUCAAUGAUUUUCACUUUAAUGGUAAGUUCACAGCAAACUUUCAUUACUUUUGAGGGUUCACAGUUGCCUUGAGGGUUGAAGUCUCAAAUCUUUUCUUCAUUUUAGGUUUACUUUUGGUGAAGGGACAAGAAUCAAGACGGGCUUACAUGCCGUAACUCAGUCAUGUAUAGUUGAUUCGCCCUGCAGAUCCAAACCAGAGGGUUAGGGUUUAGGAAAAACAAGGCAAGACAAACGCUGCAAAGACUUGCCGAUGAACGAAAAUUGUUUUACGUCUCACCGGGGCUGACUUCAACACGUCAUUUGGAGGAUACGUAUCAUUUCAAUGCUGUAAUUCUGAUCCUUUACUAUGCUACAUUAAAUAACGAGGAGAUUUCAUGUUGAAUUGAAAGAAGUUAAUCGCACCAAUUGCAAUUGGAGACCGAUGCUACAUAAGAUAGCCGCAAGCUCUCAUCGUGUAGUGUUUUUUUUCUCCUUUGGUGAAUAUGCACAAAUAUAUUUAAUAAAGAACGCGAAAACUCGCUAAACAUUUAGUCAGAUUUAAAUGCAUCGAAGAAAAAAAACAUAAUAUUUUGGAACGAAAAGAAUUACGUUUUUAUAGGUUAUUUGUUAAUUCUUCGUCCUUUGGCCUGAAAGUAGUAUGCGCUUUUAAACGGUGCCUGGAAUUAUUUCAGAAAAAAAAAAAAGUCUUUUGGCGGGAAAAAACUCUGUGUC